CAGGGAAUUCCUCUAUGAAGCGGGCGUUGUGUGCAGCCGACGUGAUGAUAUUUUUGAUAGUUCAUUGUACACUUCUGUGGAUAACGUUUACUCCUUCAGGCGCUGCAGGAAUUUCUAAAGCAAAUGAAAACCUCCUGUGUGCAACAGCAGAGUGCUCGGAAAGAGCGAGACUCAUCAAUGCAUCCCUUAAUUCGACUGCUGACCGUUGUGAAGAUUUUUACUCGUACGCCUGUGGUGGGUGGCUAAAGCACCACAAUAUACCAGAGCGCCGUAUAGCGUUUGGUGUUUAUGACCAGUUUGAUCAAG